ACCAGGCAGGGUGGUGCAUGCCUGUCAUCCCAGCUUCUCAGGAGGCUGAGGCAGGAGGAUCACAAGUUUGAGACCAGCCUCAGCAACUAAGCAAGACCCUGCCUCAA
rnacentral:sRNA from 1 species